CACUCCUACGGGAGGCAGCAGUGGGGAAUAUUGGACAAUGGGCGCAAGCCUGAUCCAGCCAUGCCGCGUGAGUGAUGAAGGCCCUAGGGUUGUAAAGCUCUUUCACCGGUGAAGAUAAUGACGGUAACCGGAGAAGAAGCCCCGGCUAACUUCGUGCCAGCAGCCGCGGUAAUACGAAGGGGGCUAGCGUUGUUCGGAUUUACUGGGCGUAAAGCGCACGUAGGCGGACUAUUAAGUCAGGGGUGAAAUCCCGGGGCUCAACCCCGGAACUGCCUUUGAUACUGGUAGUCUUGAGUUCGAGAGAGGUGAGUGGAAUUCCGAGUGUAGAGGUGAAAUUCGUAGAUAUUCGGAGGAACACCAGUGGCGAAGGCGGCUCACUGGCUCGAUACUGACGCUGAGGUGCGAAAGCGUGGGGAGCAAACAGGAUUAGAUACCCUUGUAGUCCCA
rnacentral:rRNA from 1 species